CCCUCCUCUCCACUCUUCUCCCCUCCUCCUACUCCUGCCUCCUGCUACUCACUGUUCUUGAGACUGGCAGACAGAGGUCCUGAUAACAGAAUGAGGCUGGAAUAGCAAUGUAGGUACAGCCACAGCUGAGCCAGCUGAAGGGGAAGAGGAGAGAGCACAGACUUGCACAGAUGGCUUUGGACUUGGACUUACCUCCGUUCCGGCUCAGCCUCCCUCCCCCAGCUAGGGAAGUGGAACCACCUCACGUCACAGGGUGUGCCUGGACCAUGUGCUCUGCCAGGUGUGUGCCCAGGUACUGGGUAGAACUGCCAUUCAGUGGUUAGUGGAUGCGCCCUGGCUUCCUGGUGCCCACUUCAGGAUGUGCUCCGGGUAGGGCGUCUGACUUGGUGAAGUGCUCAGUACUCUGAGAUGCUCUGUCCUCCCAGGGAGGAGCAUAGACCACUGGAGGAGCUCCUGGGACCCAGUGAGCAGACAUGAGGUCCUGUAAGCGUGGCACCUGGUAGGACACUGUGUCUGUUACUUCUUGGCAGCUGAAGGAGGGGUGACCAGGUCUUCCUGCCGGGGGUUGGGAAGCUGGGCUCUGGGGCAUCUCUGCACUAACCUCCAAAGUCAGAUCUCCCCCGAGGCUGAAGUUACACUUCCGAGUCUGUCCUAACAGAGCCAAGUAGAUGACAAGGGAGUGGCGUUCGUGGUUUUUCUUUGGACCACAUUGGUUUGGGCCGGUGAACUGUGUGGUGGGCAUUGUGUGUGUGUGAUAGACCAUAGGCGUGCUCACUUUUCCUCUCAUGGAGCGCAAUAGCUUCCUUGAAAGUAGUUCAGGGCUGUGCCCAUCCUCCCAUCUGCCAGAGGAACCCGGAACUCCGUGCUCCAGCCUUCACUCCAUCCUUCCUCCUCCCCUAUCUCCCCACUGUCUCCAGCUGCCCCCAUUUCCCGUGUUACCCCAGAGGCAGGACAAACAGGGAGCAUCCUCUCCAUCCAGCCAUCCCGACCCAGGCCCUCCCUGCCCUGUACAGAGUCUGGGAGCUUUUGAGACCCAGGUUUUGGUCAGUAAUUUGGAGGAAAGGAUAGAAAAACUGACUUUCAAGGAGUUCAAUUGCCUAGGAACAUGGGCUUCUGUACCUGUGACCCAGGGGAAGCCCAAAGAGCUGAUACUGGGUCCACUGGGGCUUUGGAAGGCUGUGACUUCUCUCCCUGUUACCUGAGUCGGCACUUGAGGGGGCCCACCACCUCUAAAGGAUGCUGUUCCCACUUUAGGAUUUAGGGCCUAGGACAUAAGGUGGUGCCUGAAUGCUGACCGCUUCUUCUGGGGGCUUCAGGCCAGCCAGCCAUGUUCCUCCACCCAUGGUCCCUCAACACACGUAUCCUUCAUUUUAUCACCCUUUCCUCUGAUUCAUUAACCGCAGCUAGUUGGCAGCAGGCCCUUCUCUGACAGCUAAAGACAAAAUGUCCAGGACACUGGGUCUGGGUUGGAGUUGAGACUGACAGGAAGCUUUCAGUCCACACAACAAUGGUCUGGGACUGUCUUGAGGGCAGGACGUUCCCCUUUUUUCAAAAAGGCCUUCUAGGCCCCCUUUCACCAAGUGAGUUCUUCCUCAUUGCCUGGAACCCUGAAACCAGCAUUCCCAGAGGCUAGAAGAUGGACGCUUGGGGCUCAGCUUCCGGCAUCCUCCCCCACUCUGGCUGGAACUUGCAUCAGUCACGUAAGUAGCUGUGACUCAGCAUCCAGCGCUGGGUCAGGAGGGAGAAGCUGCUGCCUUGGCAGGAACCUUCCCACGUUCUGCAUUUGAACACAUUGUGGUAGCACAGCGCGGGUACCGGGUUCAGCCGGUUCGUGUGUAUAUAUUUUACAAACAGGUUCCCUCUCCUUCCCAUUUUCCCCCCAUGUUAUUUUUUGGGCACCGUGCUGGGCUCAAAAUAAGAUAUUUAGGACUUUAAAACUCAGCAUCAUUUAUAGAAUGAAAUAGAAGCUGUCUUUGUGAUCUUUUGACUGUUCUUAGCCAGUGGCCCAUGAAGUGUGUUUAACCCUCAGCUCUGUUUAGUUUGGCCUGCAUUUUUUUUUUUUUUUUUAAUGUAUCUGAUUUUGUAUGCCUCUAGACAUAACGUGGCCUCUCCAGGCCACUAUCUCUGCUGCACGUUGUUGCUGCCUCUGUCUUUCUGUGUCCUGCCCAAGCCCUCUGAGCAUUUGCAUGUAUGGUGAUCAGUCUUCCCAGGCUGCCUCUGGACAGAUGAAGACACUGAGGCCCAUUCAGGGCAAGUGGCCGGUUCUUGUUCUCAGAUUUUAUGCCUGGCAGGCGUUCUCCUUCCCUGGGUGCUGACCUUUCCUCCGCCCUCGGGUCCCUUACCCGGCAGAAGAAUGUUCUGGAAGGUAGAAAAGCCUCUAGAUAGAAUGUGAGCGUGACAACAGACUGGGGCUGGAGUGGGGCUCCCCAGACCUUUAACCUGUCAGUGUCACAUCAGGGCUAUAUACCUACUCCUGGUGGGUGAGUAAUUUUCCUUCCUAGAUAAUCUCACUAAGACCUUCGACAAGGCCAAUUUGCUUGGGCCUAUUAGGCCGAAGCAAGAGAAUCCCAUGUCUCUCAUUGGAUGGCAGAGCCCCUAGGAAGAUGGUGAUUUCAUCGGCUGCCUUCUUCUAGAUCUAGGUGGCCCUCAGGCUCACUGCCAGGAAGAUCGAGCCCCUGCCAGCCCUUAUCAAAUCACCCAGCUACUCCCAGCUAGCACAGAACCACCAGCUUGUUUCAGAGAAGAAUCAUUGCCCACCUGACUUUUAGAAGAAAGAACUCUGCUUCCAUUGAGAGGUCUGUGACCUGAAUGACCCUUUCACCUCCUGGGAUUGAAAAGGCAAAAGUAGAAGACAUUUCUCCUCAGGGUGGAGGCCGGGUCUUCCCAUCGCAUCUCCCUGCCUUCUUCGGUGAGAUCCUCUUCUUCUGGAAGCUGGUUUCACAUGGUGGCUUAGAUUUUUCCAUCUUUGUAUCUAGCACCAUUUGAAAUCAGUGUUUUAGGAGUAAGAAUUGCAGCUCUGCAAAGGAUGGACUGGAGAGGAGCUGCUGCUCAAGGGACUGACUCUUUUCGCUGCUUGAGCCUGUUCAAGAAGUCAAGGGAAGAUUUGGAAAGCAAAAGUCACUCAAGAAGAUGUUGGAUGUGGGCGGGGCCACAGCAGGAGUCGGGGGCGUGGCUUGUGUUUACUGUAAAUGCAGUAGCUUGAGCAGGGCACAGCCCACCACUAGCACCUGUCUCUAGCAUCACUGAAUUGGUAGGGCCUCUGAGUGCAGUGAUUGUGCUGUUCAGAUGGGUGAUGAUGUAUUGGGUGUCGACUGUAACAGGGAAGGGCAGAGGGCUGUAUACCUGGAGGACUGUCACCUCAGCACUGCCCACAUGCUCCUGGAGGAUGCCCUGGAGUAUUCCGCUGGAAUCAGAUUUGCCACCUGCAGAGGUGCAGACCCGAGGAGCACUACUGGCCCAUCUCUUACACAGGCUGACCGAUUUCUCCUGGUGUUCAGAGUCUGUUUUUGUCUAGCACCAUUUGAAAUCGGUUAUGAUGUAGGGGGAAAAGCAGCAACCUCACAGCCUCAUGCCAAGUCUGGUCAGCAGCAGCCUGUGGUUUCCUGGAAGAUGGAUGGGCAGAGAGUGGGGAAGGAAGAUCACACUUUCCCUGCUAACUUCUUUAGCUGCAUUCAUGAUAUGUUAUUGCAGAGGUAAGAGGUAAUUCAGUGGAUUUUUAAAAACAAAUCACUAUAAUUUAUAUGAUGUCCUCAGUUGCAUUUUCUGAAAUGUAAUAUUGCUGUGAAUUGUGUAAAUUGGUUGCCGUUGAAUUAUCUUUCUGCUAAGUAGUCUGUUCAUGCAUCCUGACUUUAAUAAAUAAUUUCAUAUAUUCAAUUUA